AGUCGAGGGGUAACAGGGAGAAGCUUGCUUUUCUGCUGACGACCGGCGAACGGGUGCGUAACGCGUAUAGAAUCUGCCUUGUACAGGAGGAUAGCCUUUAGAAAUGAAGAUUAAUACUCCAUAAAUUUAAGAGAUGGCAUCAUUUUUUAAUUAAAGAUUUAUCGGUACGAGAUGACUAUGCGUCCUAUUAGCUAGAUGGUAAGGUAACGGCUUACCAUGGCAACGAUAGGUAGGGGGUCUGAGAGGAUUAUCCCCCACACUGGUACUGAGACACGGACCAGACUCCUACGGGAGGCAGCAGUGAGGAAUAUUGGUCAAUGGAGGCAACUCUGAACCAGCCAUGCCGCGUGCAGGAAGACUGCCCUAUGGGUUGUAAACUGCUUUUAUACAGGAAGAAACUUGGUUACGUGUAACCAACUGACGGUACUGUAAGAAUAAGCACCGGCUAACUCCGUGCCAGCAGCCGCGGUAAUACGGAGGGUGCAAGCGUUAUCCGGAAUCAUUGGGUUUAAAGGGUCCGCAGGCGGUCAAUUAAGUCAGAGGUGAAAUCCCAUAGCUUAACUAUGGAACUGCCUUUGAUACUGGUUGACUUGAGUUAUACGGAAGUAGAUAGAAUAAGUAGUGUAGCGGUGAAAUGCAUAGAUAUUACUUAGAAUACCGAUUGCGAAGGCAGUCUACUACGUAUAUACUGACGCUCAUGGACGAAAGCG
rnacentral:rRNA from 1 species